GGCUCUCUGUCAGUCAAACAUAGAGAGUCGGACCUGCCCAGUGAAACUUUUUAACGGCCGCGGUACUCUGACCGUGCAAAGGUAGCAUAAUCACUUGCCUUAUAAUUGAAGGCUGGUAUGAACGGUUUGACGAGGGCAUAGCUGUCUCCCCCCUAAUAAUUAGAACUUGACUUGGAGGUGAAGAGGCCUGCAACAGACUGAAGGACGAGAAGACCCUAUCGAUCUUUAAAAGAGAAACAGGCGGUGAUAUAUUUAUAAAUGUAAAACUGUUUUCAUUUUUUGGUUGGGGCGACUAGGGAACACAAAAAGCUUCCUUUCAUUUGAAAAAUAGUAUAUAUUAUGAUCCAGCAAGAAGCUGAUUAAAAGAAUUAGUUACCGUAGGGAUAACAGCAUAAUCCUUUUUGAGAGCCCUUAUCGAAAAAAGGGGUUAUGACCUCGAUGUUGGACUAGGAUAUCCCGAGGGUGCAGAAGCCUUCGAUGGUUGGUCUGUUCGACCAUUAAAAUCCU
rnacentral:rRNA from 1 species